rnacentral:rRNA from 1 species
UAGGAUGCGGAAGCGCAGAGAUGGUGCCCCUUUUUGUCGGUAUACAGGUGGUGCAUGGCUGUCGUCAGCUCGUGUCGUGAGAUGUUGGGUUAAGUCCCGCAACGAGCGCAACCCUCGUCCUAUGUUGCCAGCACGUUAUGGUGGGGACUCAUAGGAGACUGCCGGGGUCAACUCGGAGGAAGGUGGGGAUGACGUCAAGUCAUCAUGCCCCUUAUGUCCAGGGCUUCACGCAUGCUACAAUGGCCGGUACAAAGGGCUGCGAUGCUGUAAGGCGGAGCGAAUCCCAAAAAGCCGGUCUCAGUUCGGAUUGGGGUCUGCAACUCGACCCCAUGAAGUCGGAGUCGCUAGUAAUCGCAGAUCAGCAACGCUGCGGUGAAUACGUUCCCGGGCCUUUUACAACCAAA